UCUCUCUCUCUCUCUCAUUCUCUAAUUCACUGUUUACAUGCUUAAAUAGUUGUAGAUUUUAGUAACUAAUCAAUAUGAGUGCAAAUUGUUGGUUGGAUGAAGUUUAGGUUGGAUAAUAUCUUCUCUCCUUGGAAUUUAGUUAAAGAUGUUGAAGAUUAUCAAUUAACUCUUAAUUGUUCUUGAAAUUAUUCAAUACCCAUAUAGUUUUUCCCUUUUUCUGGUGCUUGUAAGUGUAUUGCAGUUUCCAAUUCUUCAGAUAAAUUUCUUGCUUUUGACGAACAGUAGUAGCCGAUCCUAAUUGAUUUGCAAUUAAAAUUUGAUCCACUUGAUGACUUGAGACAGUCUAAUAUAGCGUGACGCAGUUUGUGUGCCAUGGAAUCGAAAGGGUUGUUAAAGAAUGAACAGUUGUAUCAGUAUGUACUGGAGACUAGUGUGUACCCACGCGAACCACAGCCUCUCAAGGAGCUAAGGAAUGUCACUGCUAACCACCCAAGGGCUGGAAUGGCCACUUCUCCAGAUGCUGGUCAGUUGAUAGCCAUGCUCUUGCAGCUAGUAAAUGCAAAAAAAGACAAUAGAAGUGGGAGUCUUCACUGGAUACUCCCUUCUCCUCACCGCUCUUUCCAUCCCUGAGGAUGGAAAGGUAAGAGAUGCAUCAUCAGGAGCAAUCCUAUACCAAACCAGACUGUUUUUAAAGCUGUGUAAUCUGACACAUCAACAUUAGCUUAGGAUUGGGUGUGGAGUUGCAGUUCAGAUUGUUUCUUUCAAAAGACUCCUUUUAUUAUUUCUCUUCGGGAAAUUGUUAACCAUAUCAAAGUGCAUUACUGCAGAUUACUGCCAUAGAUGUCAAUCGUGAGACAUAUGAGAUAGGACUGCCAAUUAUAAGAAAAGCUGGUGUUGAAUACAAAAUUGACUUCAUAGAAUCUGAGGCUCUACCAGUUCUUGAUAAGUUACUGAGAGAUUAUGGAAAUGAAGGCAGUUUUGACUUUGCUUUUGUUGAUGCUGAUAAAGUCAAUUACUGGAACUACCAUGAGAGGCUAAUUAAAUUGCUAAAGGUGGGUGGAAUAGUUGUCUAUGAUAACACUCUCUGGGGAGGGACAGUUGCCAUGUCUGAAGAUUCAACUCCAGAGGUUAUGAAAAUGGGCAGACAGCUUACAAUUGACCUCAAUAAAUUGCUUGCAGUUGAUUCUCGUGUCCAAAUUUCACAUGCUUCACUGGGUGAUGGGAUCACAAUCUGCAGGAGACUUUACUGAUCUUUUUUGCUUGAACUUUAAACUUAUUUUACUUGUUUUCUGAUAUUGAGCUUUGAGUACAAUAAUUAUUCACAUAAUUCACACACAAUGGAUUUCCAUUGUGCAGGAAGUCUGGUUGGCUAUAAACAUUGAUGGCGAAAAUCCCAUCAUUUGUGUUCAAAAGAUUUAAAUAAAUUUAGCUUCUGCAACAUUCCCUAUUAUUUUGAAGGUGCAACUUUAUGAAUCCAGAAUUAAGUUAAAUCUGUUGGCG
rnacentral:misc_RNA from 1 species